rnacentral:tRNA from 1 species
GAGAGAUGGCUGAGUGGUCGAAAGCACUGGUCUUGAAAACCAGCGUACGUGUAAGCGUACCGUGGGUUCGAAUCCCACUCUCUCC